AACGAACGCUGGCGGCAUGCCUAAUACGUGCAAGUCGAGCGAGAUCUUCGGAUCUAGUGGCGCACGGGUGCGUAACGCGUGGGAAUCUGCCCUUGGGUUCGGAAUAACAGCGGGAAACUGCUGCUAAUACCGGAUGAUGACGUAAGUCCAAAGAUUUAUCGCCCAGGGAUGAGCCCGCGUAGGAUUAGGUAGUUGGUGGGGUAAAGGCCUACCAAGCCUACGAUCCUUAGCUGGUCUGAGAGGAUGAUCAGCCACACUGGGACUGAGACACGGGCCAGACUCCUACGGGAGGCAGCAGUAGGGAAUAUUGGACAAUGGGGGCAACCCUGAUCCAGCAAUGCCGCGUGAGUGAUGAAGGCCUUAGGGUUGUAAAGCUCUUUUACCCGGGAUGAUAAUGACAGUACCGGGAGAAUAAGCCCCGGCUAACUCCGUGCCAGCCGCCGCAGUAA
rnacentral:rRNA from 1 species